rnacentral:rRNA from 1 species
AGCUCCAAUAGCGUAUGUUAAAGUUGUUGCGGCUAAAAAGCUCGUAGUUGGAUUUCUGUUGAGGACGACUGGUCCGCUCUAUGAGCGUGCAUCUAGUUUGGCCUCGGCAUCCGCUCUGCAGACGUUCUGCGCUUGAUUGCGUGGUUCGGAGGUAGGGCCUUUUACUUUGAGGAAAUUAGAGUGUUCACGGCAGGCAAUCGCCUUGAAUAUAUUAGCAUGGAAUAAUAACAUAGGAUCUUGGUUCUAUUUUGUUGGUUUCUAGAGCUGAGAUAAUGAUUAAUAGGGACAAUUGGGGGCAUUCGUAUUGCGGUGUCAGAGGUGGAAUUCUUGGAUUACUGCACGACGAACUACUGCGAAAGCAUUUGCCAAGGAUGUUUUCA